GUCCCAGUGACCUGACUCAGAUUGCAUCCUGCAACAUUAUCCUGGGACGCACAUAUUUAUUUGUCUUUAUUCGUGAAAUAAGAAGACACCAAGAACCAUUCUUGGGUCUUUUUUGAAAUUGGGACCUCAGUAAUUAUUGGAUCAGGACUCGUCCGCCGGAUGAGGCUCUUCAGGGCAAGGGAUCUUAUGAAUCUGUUUAGAUAUGACGGCAUCCUCUCGAGAAUUAAUUAUUUUGUCAGGCUAAAGUAAGAUAGUCGGAGAUAAAGAGUAGGGGAUUUGCAAACUGCCUCCAGGAAUAUAAGUGAAAAUGAGACAAGCCACAUAAACAUGACAACUUCAUGAUAGGAAUUUUGUGGGACUGAAGAUAAUUUUAUGUGUGACAUGAAAACUAUACUUUUCAGGACAAACUAUAGUUUGUCGCAGAAACGACUGCCUGUGAAGGCUCCUGGAUUGGGGCUGAAAAGUGAAAGUGGAAGCAGUAUGCUCCAUCCCAUAUUUGGGUAGACUAGGUUGCCCUGAUUUUAAAAAAAAAACAUUUUUCGGGAUUGACCAGGGAUAUAUAUUUAUAUUUAGAUGCUGAAAGCAAUUAAGAAAUUAUACUACAAGAAAGAGGGAGGAGACUUAAAACUUCAGUACAAGAUCUUUUUUGAGAUAUAUGCAUUGGCGCAGUGAUUAGAAUGCAGUACUGCAGGAUACUUCUGCUGAUCACUGGCUGCCAGCUGUUUGGCAAAUCAAAUCUCACCAGGCUGACGUAGUCUUCCAUCCUUCCCAGCAUCUGUGAGUAUCUGUGUUUAACCAGCAACGUAUCUCUUUGCUGUCCGGUCUGUUGCCUACUAUGCAGAGGGAAGUUUUACCCUCAGCACUGGUUAUGGGCCCAGUCUGUAUGUACCAGUUACAGCAAUAAGGGAGUUGCGACACACACUACUCCUCCAGGCGUUCUGAUAUAUUUCAUAUCUUGGUGAGGAUGGCACAAGGUCAAGCUCCAAAUUUAUCGCUGAUUACCCGGCUGGAUGGCACCAACUACAAAUCCUGGUCCACCAAGUGCAGUCUACUGUUGCGCAAAGAGGGGCUAUGGGAUGUAGUGCAGAACCCACCAGAUGUGGCCUCCUGGAAUGCUGACAAUGCCGAGGAUGCCAGGAAGAUAGUGGAGUUCCAGAGGAAAAAUGAGAGUGCAUUGUGCAUAAUUGAUUUGAUUCUAGACGAUUCUAUACCCAGCUUGUUCACAUUGAGGGUGAACAGUCUGCUGCAAGAUGCUGGGGUAAUUUGAGACGGCUUUAUGUUCAUGACACUGUGGGGGCACAAAUUAACAUUAUACGAAAGUUAUUUCGCACAUGACUCCUUAAGGGUGGUGACAUGUUAACAUACCUGAAUUACAUGAAAGGUGUUUUUCGAGAGCUACAUCAGAAGGAGGUGGUUUUUUCUGAGCAGCAACAGGUUUAUAUACUAUUAUCAUCGCUGGAUGAGAGCUACGACGACGUAGUAACAUCAUUUGAAGUCCUCACACAGCAAGAACUAACUUUGGCCAAUGUAACCUCACGACUACUAGAAGAGGCCAGAAGGAGAGAAGAAAGAAAACAGCUGAGAGAAGAACCUGGGUCGACUAAUGCAAAUGCAAAUAACCAUGUAUAUGCUGUGAAACAUUGUUUUAAUUGUGGCAAGAAGGGUCAUAUAGCCAAGUUUUGUAGAAGGCUGAAACAAACAACCAUGGUUAAAGAUAGGAAACAAUGUAAUGUAGCUAUGUCUGAUAAGGCACCGGUUAACCACCAUCGUGGGUUAUUGAUAGCAGGGCAUCGCUGUGCAUUAUCAGAACUAGAAACUAUUUUGUAAAAAUGUUGCCCAGUAAUAAUAAGAUUUCUUUAGCAAAUGGGUGGAAGCUAAAGUCAUGUGGUGAGGGACUGGCAAUAUGUCCAUAGGUAAAAGAAAAAAUGCAUAUGUUAUACGUUCCAACUCUAAACUUUAUUAUCGGUUAGAGUAUUAGUUAAGCUAGGAUAUACAGUAACUUUUAGGGAUAAUGAUUGUUUAAUUGAAAAGGGUGGAACGAAGAUUACUGGAAAAUUGAAAGAUGGUUUGUAUGUAUUAUCUAAUAAUCAUGUUACAAAUGCUGUAUACUCGAAUGUCAAACCACAUGACGAAUGUGUUCACUUGCUCCACAGACGAAUGGGGCAUAUCAGUUUUAAAAUGCUGCAGAAAACUGUUAAAUUAGUUGAUGGGUUGAAGCUGAAGCCAUGUAACCAGUAUUUAAAUUGCAAUAUUUGUAAUCGGCAAAAGAGCAGAACACUCCCUGCCAAUAGGUUUGACGGAUUUAAAAUGAAGAGACCACUGGAAGUGGCAUUCGCUGAUCUAAUAGGGCCAAUGAAAGCUAGUCUAGUGGGUGCUUGUUAUGUCCUAAGCAUAGUUGACCAUUACUCCAGGUAUGGUUUUUGCUACCUAUUGAGGAAUAAGACAGAUACAUUUCGGUAUUUUGUUCAGUGGAUCAAGUUUGUCGAGAGAAAAACAAAGCAAAAAAUAGUUACCAUUGUAACUGAUAACGGUACUGAGUUUGUAAACACGAGGUUUAAAUCAAUGUUGGACAAUGCUGGUAUAAAACAUAAAUGUUCAGCUCCAUAUAGACCACAACGUAACUCAUAUGUUGAAAGGAGAUGACAAACUUUACAAGCAAUGAUGAGAACAAUGUUAGCUGAUGCAGAUUUACCAGCCGGUCUAUAGGGAGAAGCCAUAAUGUGUGCAAAUACACUCUUGAACAAUGUCGUAAAUACAACCACUAAGAAAAUACUCCAUACUGUAUGGCAUGGAAAGAAGAUGGAUUUGAGUUACAUUCACACAUUCGGGUCACCUGCAUGGGUACAUAUUCUAUCGCAGUUAAGACGUAAGGGCCAGAGUACGGCACAACAAUUAAUAUUUGUUGGUUAUAAUUCAAAACACAGGUCCUACAGAUUUUGGCUAAAAAGAACAACAACGGUAGUUAGUGCGAAUGCAAAGUUUAUGGAGCAUGUAGAGUGGAAUAAAUUGGGGACUGAGAAUGAGGUUAUCAUUGAAACUCAGACUGAAGCUAUUAACGAAAUGCCAGAAAUCCAGAACAAAGAGGUAGAGGGGGAUGUAGUACAGGAACAGGUGAAGGUGGAGAGACCAUCUGUAAGUCCUGAUCUUCCAAGAAGGUCGAAUAGAGUAACAAGACCACCUGAUAGGUAUCAGGCAACAAUGAUUAUCAAAUAAAGUUCCUACAACAUAUAAUGAGUUAACCACAUUUCCACCUGAAGAUCAGGAAGUGUGGAGAUCUGCGAAGACUAAAAAACUAAAAUCUUUGCAGAAUUUAAAUGUUUAUGAAACUCUAAAAAUACAAGGUAGAACUAUACUCUGUAGUAAGUGGAUAUAUAAAUUAAAGACUGGUAUAAAGGGUGAACCAAUAUAUAAGGCUAGGCUGGCAGCUCAAGGAUUUAAUUUGAAGAUUAUGAUGAGGUAUUCGCUCCAAGUUUAAAAGCUAUUACACUAAGUGCAGCGUUGGUAGGGGCAGCUAGAUAUAAAUAUAUAAUCAUUUGGACGUAGAGACUGCAUACCUACAUGCACCACUACAGCACGAAAUCUAUUUAAAGAAACUCAACAAAACAAACAUAAAACCCAAUAAUAACUACUUGAUGGACUCUACAUCAACCUGGGAUCCCCAGGCCUGCUGGCACAACCAUGUCUUCGGAGCCUUUUGGAAGAGUAUCGAGUCCAGUCUAUGAAGAUGAUGUUGCACAGGAGGGAGACACAGAAAAGGCCCUUCCAAGUGAACUUCCUUAAUGGAAUUUGUAACAUACCCUGCUGCUAUACAACUGCAAUUUUUAUAUGUAAAACACCUUAACACUUUUGAGUUGUAACCUCAAUCACUGGUUGUUGUUUCCUCUGCACACAAAGACCUGUUUUUACUGACGAGUUUGUGGAAAUAAAUUCAUAUAAUAGGGCAGAAAAUUACAGCAUGAUAGGCUUAUGAAAUGAAAUAUUCUCUUUUAGAAUAUAACAUACAAAUUAGUAUAGUUUUAAUUUUUUUUCUUUCUUUGGUUCAUCUGAAAGAACCAAGAUACCCAUUCUAUUAAUUUUAAUCAGUCUUGUAAGGAAAGAAGAAUGCUUCUUUGUUUUGUAGUUCAAUUUUCUAGUGAGGUUAGUUUUGUUAGUUUUGAAGGCAUGAGAGAUGAAAGAUGUUACUGCCUUCUAUAACAUGGUUUUAGUUGAUUUUAUCUAUAUGGUGGCCCAUCUUGCUUAAUCAGCUCUGAACCCAGAAUACUGAAAUGUUAGAAACAUGCUAGCCAAUUUCAACACGAUUAACCAAGUUUUACUACCCUUUAAGGAACUUUUACGAAAGCUGGAAAUGCACACAGCCAUUUGUUUAUCUUUAUUGUGUUUAAAAAUGUAUAAAAAAUAGCUUCAGGUGUGUUUCAUUACAUCUUAGUUUAACUACAGAGGAUUUAAUUUAUGUAGUCUGUAUGUUGAAACUUGUUGAUUUUAGAGUAAGUAAAAUAAUCUCUAGGAUUAUAUGUAUGGAAAAAUGCUUGUUUUCCCCUUCUCCCUUGCAAAUGAAUAGAAUUUGUAAAGGUUUCUGUAUUUCUCCUUUGAGAACAAGUGAAAUGAUACAUUAAGAGCAGGGGACUUUGAACAUUUACUAGAAAAACAAUAGCUUCCCCAAUGGUCAAGCAUUGCUUACGACACCAUUCUCCACUGGAUGAAAAUAACCCAGCAGCAAGGCUAUGCUUUAACAACCCCCGCCCCCGCCCCCCAUAAAACUAGUCUUCAUUCAGUUGUUCAUUUGUCUGCCUUGGAAAAGUUUCCUCCAGUGAAAUCAUUCCAACAUUCAUUAUGCAUGGUAAAAAGCUGAAACUAGGAUGAAAUAAAUUUUAUGGAAAUAAGCAGAUAUUGAUGAUCAGGUAAAAACAGUGGCUUCAGAUUUUUCAAUUUUUAAUAGAGAAAAGGAGUUCCAGAAUUUCUAUUUUUCUGCAUCUGCUAUUCAGUAAUACAUUAAUGUUUCAUUUUAUUGUAGCAUAAUGCUUUGCUUUCUAUAUACUAAGAUGGAAUUAAUUUUGCAUUCUUAAUGGCUAUACUCUUUCAGGCACUUGUUUCUAUUUUAUCCUCUUUUGUUCUAUAGUACUGGUUACCAAUAAAAAAAACCCUCUAGUG